rnacentral:rRNA from 1 species
CCUACGGGAGGCAGCAGUGAGGAAUAUUGGUCAAUGGGCGCGAGCCUGAACCAGCCAAGUCGCGUGAAGGAUGACUGCCCUACGGGUUGUAAACUUCUUUUAUAAAGGAAUAAAGUGAGGCACGUGUGCCUUUUGUUAUGUACUUUACGAAUAAGGAUCGGCUAACUCCGUGCCAGCAGCCGCGGUAAUAGUGAGGAUACGUGCGUUAUCCGGAUUUAUUGGGUUUAAAGGGAGCGUAGAUGGGUUGUUAAGUCAGUUGUGAAAGUUUGCGGCUCAACCGUAAAAUUGCAAUUGAUACUGGCAGUCUUGAGUACAGUUGGGGGAGGCGGAAUUCGUGGUGUAGCAGUGAAAUGCUUAGAUAUCACGAAGAACUCCGAUGGCGAAGGCAGCUUACUAAACUGCCACUGACAUUGAUGCUCGAAAGUGUGGGUAUCAAACAGGAUUAGAUACCCGAGUAGUC